CCUACGGGAGGCAGCAGUGGGGAAUAUUGCACAAUGGGCGAAAGCCUGAUGCAGCGACGCCGCGUGAGGGAUGACGGCCUUCGGGUUGUAAACCUCUUUCAGCAGGGAAGAAGCGAAAGUGACGGUACCUGCAGAAGAAGCGCCGGCUAACUACGUGCCAGCAGCCGCGGUAAUACGUAGGGCGCAAGCGUUGUCCGGAAUUAUUGGGCGUAAAGAGCUCGUAGGCGGCUUGUCACGUCGGGUGUGAAAGCCCGGGGCUUAACCCCGGGUCUGCAUUCGAUACGGGCUAGCUAGAGUGUGGUAGGGGAGAUCGGAAUUCCUGGUGUAGCGGUGAAAUGCGCAGAUAUCAGGAGGAACACCAGUGGCGAAGGCGGAUCUCUGGGCCAUUACUGACGCUGAGGAGCGAAAGCGUGGGGAGCGAACAGGAUUAGAUACCCUGGUAGUCCACGCCGUAAACGGUGGGAACUAGGUGUUGGCGACAUUCCACGUCGUCGGUGCCGCAGCUAACGCAUUAAGUUCCCCGCCUGGGGAGUACGGCCGCAAGGCUAAAACUCAAAGGAAUUGACGG
rnacentral:rRNA from 1 species